rnacentral:rRNA from 1 species
GAAAUCUUAGCUAAUCCUGGAUGUGAACCUCAGCUGUGGCUGAUGUUUAAAGCUUCGGCGCUUUGGGAUGGGCCUGCGGCGCAUCAGGUAGUUGGUGGGGUAACGGCCCACCAAGCCGACGACGCGUAGCUGGUCUGAGAGGACGACCAGCCACAGGGGUACUGAGACACGGACCCCACUCCUACGGGAGGCAGCAGUUAGGAAUCUUCCGCAAUGGGCGAAAGCCUGACGGAGCGAUACCGCUUGAAGGACGAAGCCCUUCGGGGUGUAAACUUCUGAACUCGGGACGAUAAUGACGGUACCGAGGUAAUAGCACCGGCUAACUCCGUGCCAGCAGCCGCGGUAAUACGGAGGGUGCGAGCGUUACCCGGAUUUACUGGGUGUAAAGGGCGUGUAGGCGGUCUCUCAAGUCCGAUGCUAAAGACCGAAGCUCAACUUCGGGGGUGCGUUGGAUACUGUGAGGCUAGACGGUCGGAGAGGGUAGCGGAAUUUCCGGAGUAGCGGUGAAAUGCGCAGAUACCGGAAGGAACGCCAAUAGCGAAAGCAGCUACCUGGACGAUUUGUGACGCUGAGGCGCG